UACGGAGGAUCCAAGCGUUAUCAGGAUUUAUUGGGUUUAAAGGGUGCGUAGGCGGCUUUUUAAGUCAGGGGUGAAAGACGGUAGCUUAACUAUCGCAGUGCCUUUGAUACUGAAGAGCUUGAAUGGACUAGAGGUAGGCGGAAUGUGACAAGUAGCGGUGAAAUGCAUAGAUAUGUCACAGAACACCAAUUGCGAAGGCAGCUUACUAUGGUUUAAUUGACGCUGAGGCACGAAAGCGUGGGGAUCAAACAGG
rnacentral:rRNA from 1 species